rnacentral:lncRNA from 1 species
CAGGAAUGGGGGGGAGGGCAGGAUUCCAGGAGGGCCCACCCCGCCCUCGGUGGGUGCAGCGCACACAGUUGUGGGACGGCUCCACCGGUGCACUAGACAAGGGAGCCAGCCUGCUCCACACUGUUCUGCACACACGGUCUCCCCCAUGCUCGUGCUCGCGUGCCCGCCAGGUGCAGGGAGUGCCCGGCCCAGACCCAGACCCAGCCCCAGCCAGAUUGCCCAGGCCCUUCCCUGUGUGCCCCGCUGGGCACAGCUCAGGGCCCAAUUCCACAGACCCCACCCAGGCAGCCCCUGCCCCCUGCCUGACCCCAGACUCAGGUCUCCCACCCCUCCCUGAGCCCAAGGAUGGUCCAAACCAUAGAUGGGGAGACAGGCUGGGGAGAGGUCAGCAGACACAGCCCCCACCCAGGGCCCCUCUACAGCUCCUACUGGAGGCUUCUGGCAGAAAGGGAGGUUUGGGGAGACGGAGCAUAGACGCAGAACCGUGGCCACCGUGGGGCAGCUGGCAGCACAGUUCCCACAAGGGGGCAGCGGGGCCCCUGCUCUUGUCUCAGACACCUUCUGGCUUCCCCAGGGGACCUGGCCUUCUGGCUUCCUCCCUCUGCUCCCAAGACCAAAGUGAGGUGGGGACCCCUACCCGCAUGCCCACUGCUUGCCUCUCAAGGGUCCAGUCUCCACAGGACAAUAGGGGAAGCAACAGACCCACAGUGUCUUGCAGAUUGCCAGGAGCCACGUCCCUGGCUGGUGCUGGACCUGCCACAGGAGGACCUGGAGGAAGACACCCCAGGAGCCAGCCUGUGGCCCACCACCGUCACCCUGCUCACCCUCUUCCUACUGAGUCUCUUCUACAGUACAGCACUGACGGUGACAAGUGUGCGGGGCCCAGCCGACAGCAGAGAGGGCCCCCAGUACUGAGCAGAGGCCAGCCAGGCACAGGGAGGAGUCCGGAGGAGCCUUCUGGAACCCCAGCUGGACGCCAGAGCUCAGCCCUGCUGAGAAGCUGCCCACCCACCCCACACACAGGCCCUGCUGGUGCAAUAAAGUGAUACCAAAGACAAAA